GUUGCUAUGCCUACAUCCGACAAAACCGGAACGAUACAUGGAAGAUAAACAUGGUACAUGCACAAGGAUGCCACACAUAAAUCAAAACCUAAUGUUCUA
rfam:Prunus persica cultivar Lovell chromosome G6, whole genome shotgun sequence.